UUAGGGGUAAGUCGGGGCCUAAGGCGAGGUCGAAAGACGUAGUCGAUGGAUAACAGGUUGAAAUUCCUGUACUAUCCUGUAACAGAACUGUGGGGACACAGGCAGAGAGCGUGAGCCGGGAAUGGAAAGACCGGUACAAGCGAGGUAGGAGAAGAGUUGGCAAAUCCGCUCUUUAAUCUGAAGACGUGAUGUGGACUGAAAAUAAGUAGGGAAGCACGUGAGCUGACUGUCAAGAAAAGCCGCUAUUGUUUGCAGGAUACCCGUACCGUAAACCGACACAGGUGGAUGAGGAGAGAAUCCUAAGGCCGACGGGAGAAGCAUUGUUAAGGAACUCGGCAAAAUGACUCCGUAACUUCGGGAGAAGGAGUGCCAGUAAGAUGGCCGCAGAGAAUUGGCCCAAGCAACUGUUUAGCAAAAACACAGGUCUAUGCAAAACCAAAAGGUGAGGUAUAUGGGCUGACGCCUGCCCGGUGCUGGAAGGUUAAGGGGAGAGGUUAGCGCAAGCGAAGCUUUGAACUUAAGCCCCAGUAAACGGCGGCCGUAACGAUAACGGUCCUAAGGUAGCGAGAUUCCUUGUCGGGUAAGUUCCGACCCGCACGAAAGGCGUAAUGAUUUGGGCACUGUCUCAACAAUGCACCCGGUGAAAUUGAAAUACCAGUGAAGAUGCUGGUUACCUGCGCCAGGACGGAAAGACCCCAUGGAGCUUUACUCCAGCUUGAUACUGGGAUUCGGUAUUGCAUGUACAGGAUAGGUGGGAGGCUAGGAAAUGGUAACGCCAGUUGCCAUGGAGCCGAUGUUGGGAUACCACCCUUGCAGUACUGGGUUUCUAACCAGCAGCCGUGAUCCGGCUGGGGGACAAUGUCAGGUGGGGAGUUUGACUGGGGCGGUCGCCUCCGAAAGGGUAUCGGAGGCGCUCAAAGGUUCCCUCAGAAUGGUUGGAAACCAUUCGAAGAGUGCAAAGGCAGAAGGGAGCUUGACUGCGACACCGACGGGUGGAGCAGGUACGAAAGUAGGACUUAGUGAUCCGGUGGUAUAAAGUGGGAUUGCCAUCGCUCAACGGAUAAAAGCUACCCUGGGAUAACAGGCUUAUCACUCCCAAGAGUUCACAUCGACGGAGUGGUUUGGCACCUCGAUGUCGGCUCAUCGCAUCCUGGGGCUGAAGUAGGUCCCAAGGGUUGGGCUGUUCGCCCAUUAAAGCGGUACGCGAGCUGGGUUCAGAACGUCGUGAGACAGUUCGGUCCCUAUCCGGCGUGGGCGUAAGAUAUUUGAGAGGAGCUGUCCUUAGUACGAGAGGACCGGGAUGGACUGGCCGCUGGUGUAUCUGUUGUCUUACCAAAGGCAUAGCAGAGUAGCCAAGCCGGGAAGGGAUAAACGCUGAAGGCAUCUAAGCGUGAAGCCCCCCUCAAGAUGAGAUAUCUCAUAACGUCAAGUUAGUAAGACCCCUUGAAGACGACGAGGUAGAUAGGGCAGAGGUGGAAGUGUGGUAACACAUGGAGCUGACUGUUACUAAUAGGUCGAGGGCAUAACCAA
rnacentral:rRNA from 1 species